rnacentral:rRNA from 1 species
UACGGGGGGGGCAAGCGUUGUUCGGAAUUACUGGGCGUAAAGGGCUCGUAGGCGGCCAACUAAGUCGGACGUGAAAUCCCUCGGCUUAACCGGGGAACUGCGUCCGAUACUGGAUGGCUUGAGUUCGGGAGAGGGAUGUGGAAUUCCAGGUGUAGCGGUGAAAUGCGUAGAUAUCUGGAGGAACACCGGUGGCGAAGGCAGAUCUCUGGGCCGUAACUGACGCUGAGGAGCGAAAGCAUGGGGAGCGAACAGG